rnacentral:rRNA from 1 species
GAUGAACGCUGGCGGCGUGCCUAAUACAUGCAAGUCGAGCGAACAGACGAGGAGCUUGCUCCUCUGACGUUAGCGGCGGACGGGUGAGUAACACGUGGAUAACCUACCUAUAAGACUGGGAUAACUUCGGGAAACCGGAGCUAAUACCGGAUAAUAUAUUGAACCGCAUGGUUCAAUAGUGAAAGACGGUUUUGCUGUCACUUAUAGAUGGAUCCGCGCCGCAUUAGCUAGUUGGUAAGGUAACGGCUUACCAAGGCGACGAUGCGUAGCCGACCUGAGAGGGGGAUCGGCCACACUGGAACUGAGACACGGUCCAGACUCCUACGGGAGGCAGCAGUAGGGAAUCUUCCGCAAUGGGCGAAAGCUUGACGGAGCAACGCCGCGUGAGUUAUGAAGGUCUUCGGAUCGUAAAACUCUGUUAUUAGGGAAGAACAAAUGUGUAAGUAACUAUGCACGUCUUGACGGUACCUAAUCAGAAAGCCACGGCUAACUACGUG